GAAGGCUUAAUUUGGCGCCGGGCCUCAGGACCGAUGACGCACUUCCUGUCUUUGUAGCGGUCAGCUGCCCCGGAGCUGGAAAGUUGUGUGCGACCGGCUCUGCUGACUCUAGGGUUUCCAGGAGAUUUAAAGCCCUUAUUUGAAAAGUAGAGAGGGAACAAUUGCGACGGCGCGAUCUAACCCUGAUUCGGGGCUCAAAGACUGGGUGAUAUCCGCAGGAAGUGGAUCUUCCUGGCUCAAACCCAGUCCUGAGGUACUUGAGACAAUUGUAGUCAUUGAUGAUUAAUUGUACUGGGAGUGGAAUCCAGGACAUCUUAUAGUGGUCAAGCAUUCUACCGCCGAACCGGAUCUCCAGCCCUUAUUUCUAUUUUAUGAUGUUGGAUAUUGAAACCAGGGACAUGCAAAGCACCAUUCUAAUGGUGAGACCAUUCUACUGGUGAGCUGGACUUUUAGCAAUUCUAACUAGCAAUUCUAACACUCGUAUCUCUUAAAUGUAAAAACGAGGUAGCAUAUUUUUUUUGUUUCAUAUAAUUUUCUUUGUUGUAUAAUAAACUACAGGUAUGACAUGUCACUGCCAGUAUAUUUUUAAAAGAAUUAUUAAUAUUUAUUUAUGUGUUUGAGUUUUUCAUUUGAACGUGCGUAUCUGCACAGUGUGCUGCCUGUGCCCACGGAGGCCAGAAAGUUUACAAUACUCUGGAACUAGUGUUACAGACACUUUGUAAGCUGCCACAUGGGUGCUGAGAACGGCUCCCCCCCAAGAACCACUGAGUGAGCUCUCCUCACUUUAAGCAUUUCUACGGACAUUUUCCUGCAUCAUCAUAUUAGGAGCAGGAGCACUCCGGAAUGCUAUCUGACACCUAAUUUACACUCAAAUUCCUUCUUCUAGAUUUCUUUUACAAUUGAUUUAUUCCAACUAGAAUGCAGUUGUAGGCCACUUGUAUGUAGCUUUAAAAUCUCCUUUAGUUGUAACCUCUCUCCUCCCCACUUUCUUCCCGUUCCAUCAGCUUGUGGAAGAGAACAGUCUGAUCUGUAAAUUAUCUUCUUAGUAGAUUUCCUUUGAAUCUACAGGGAAUUUAAGUUAUUCCUCUAUUUCCUUGUAAUCAUGACCCAGUAUAUUUGGGAAUUAGGUUUCAACAUAGGUAAUUGACAUUAUUGUUUUUCUGUUAUUGCUAAGUAUGCCAAAGCUAAUGAGAAAAUGUUUUUAUACUUUUCUGAUUUUUAGUUCACUCUAGGAAGAAUAUGGGAAUACGUCAAAUUGCAGUUGUUUCACUGCCUGACACACUGUGGGUAAAUACUUACGAAGUGAUUUCUUUGUGGAUUACAGAGUUGUAUUUUACAGAAUGUGCCUACUUGGAAUCCUGGUCUCAAGGACUUUCAGCUGGGUCCAGUCAGGACACAUCCUGCUACAGCAUUUGCUUCAUUCUUCCUACCCCCUACCCCUAAGGAUAACUCAACGCCCAUGUACAGCUUGAAGAAGUUAUGGAGGAGUCGUCACCCCAAUUCCCUGGACUUUGGGGGGGCUGAAAAUGGUUAUUCUAAACUAGUUUUUAUGAGGAAUUAAAAAUUAGUUGUAAUUUAACAGGGAGGAAUUAGCUAGAUUGAAUUGUACAGUCAUAAUCUCAUUUGGUAACUAAGCUGAAAUCAUAUCUUUGCUUUGGUAUAGAAUUUAUUUGUCAAAAGAGUUUAAAAGUACAAGGUUUAGAGCCUGUCCUUCUAUUGUUGUCAUUACAAACUUCUGAGUUGCUUACACCUGUGAGUUAAGAUUCAAAUAGCAAAGUCAUGGCUCUGAGUUUGUGACAGUACUUUCAAGAUAAAAUUUAGGAUAUGGAGACAACAGUCCAGAUUGUCUUAUAUAGGGAGAUGCUUUUCAAAAACGUCAGAAAUCCACAAAAUUUGAGAUUUAAGGUUAUUUAUCUUUUGUUGAGACAUAUCUGCUCCUAAAAGUUACCCUUUGGUGGAUUUAAUGAAGAAUGUGAACAUCUCUACCUCCAGGUGAGGCAAUACUUUGUGGCUAGGCAGCCACUACACAAAACUGUUUCAUCUGCAGACUAAUACUGUCCAGAAAAGGACAAAUUAUGCAGAAUAGUUGACUGAUAAACUCUGCCAAGACAGAGUGAUCAGCCCUUCAGAAUCUGCAUUUCAAGAGUCUGUCAGUUGAUUUUGGGCCAGAAGGCUAAAGACUUGUGCUCACAUGUUGCUAACAGGGGACUGUGCUAGUGGAGAUUUGUCUCUACAACCUCUCAGUUCUGGAAGCCGUGUUAGGCUUCCUUUGUGUGUAGAUAUUUGGUCAUUCCCAGAUUUCUGACGGGGUUGAAGAUGUUAAAUAGCCUAUCAGGCUGUUUAACUCUAAAUAUACAUAUUUUAUUGGAUAGUUAUCAGAUAGUAUACAAGCUAGCCAAGAUAUAGAUUUUAAGCCUUUCUUAAGCUGGAAUGGAAUGUUCUGUUUAACUGAUAUAGUAAUGGACUGGGUGUUGAGUAUAUUGUAUGCUUUAUAAAUUGUAAAAUGGUAAUUGUACUCAAUAUAUAAGUGAAAAGGCUUUUUAACUGGGCAAAAAGGGUGAAAUGUUUGCCCUGAAGUUACUGUAUUUUGAUGCUAAUUCCACUGCCCCAAGGACAGUUGCCUAGUCACGUACUCAGGACUCAGGUACAGUACAGGUGAGGGGCAGGUACAGGAUAGAAGGAGGCCUGUCAUUGGAGGAGAAGGAAGGAUGGGCUGGAGAGAAGUUUGAAGGAAGAGGAGGAAACUAAGGGAGAGAGGAGGAGAAGAGGAGACGGAGAGAGGGGAGAAGCCAUGGCAGGUGAUGUUAAGAUUCUGCUCUGUGAAAAAUGCUAUGUUCAGAAUUAUAGACAGUGUUGAAAAAUACAACACUACUUUAUGUUUAUAUCUGAAAUGUAUACAAUGUACAUGAGAAUAAAGUUGACUAUUGACUGAAAAAAAAA